rnacentral:rRNA from 1 species
GUCAGUUGUUACUGCUGUUUGUUGCUGUUGCUGUUGUAGAUGCUGCAUCAGCACACCCUAACCCAAACACGGUGCGCCUCCGCCGCUGCUAUUAAUGCCGCUGCCCAACCGCCUAGGUGGGCGCACCCGCGCAGACCACUUCACGUGCGCGUGCACUACAGACGCGAAUAACUGACAAAGCCAAUCGCGCCAGCACCACACCACCACUCACUGGGCCACGAUCCGGGAACUGCAAGCACCACUACCGCACAAGCGCGACACACAAUGCGCCACUCCAUACAGCCCCUAUCCACCGUCUUGUGGAUAGGACGGCCAGGAGUGCAACGCAACGCAGCACAGCACUGCACAGCACACGCAGCGCAGCGCAGCGCAGCACAGCGCAGCGGAGCACAGGGAUCAAGCCUUGCACCGUAGUGCCGCAGCCAGGGCACCAGCAACAGCCUUGCGAAAGAGGGAAGCCACUGCACCACACCGCACAGGCCACAGCCACACAGGCGGACAGGCGGGCAGGCAGGCAGGCAAUCCCCCGAGCCACUGCUCAUUACGCGCAGUGAUAGUUUAUAAGCCGACGCUCGGACAGACG